rnacentral:rRNA from 1 species
GCUUAGUCGUAAACUUAAAUAAUCCUAAAACAAGAUUAUUCGCCAGAGUACUAUCGGCAACAGCCCAAAACUCAAAGGACUUGGCGGUGCUUCAUAUCCUUCUAGAGGAGCCUGUUCUGUAAACGAUAAACCACGAUUAACCUCACCAAUCCUUGCUACUUCAGUCUAUAUACCGCCAUCUUCAGCAAACCCUAAAAAAGGAACGAAAGUAAGCACAACUACUGCACGUAAAAACGUUAGGUCAAGGUGUAACCUAUGGAUUGGGAAGAAAUGGGCUACAUUUUCUAUAAUAAGAACACCCCUUAAACUCACACGAAAGUUUUUAUGAAACCUAAAAACUAAAGGAGGAUUUAGCAGUAAAUUAAGAAUAGAAUGCUUAAUUGAAUAAGGCCAUGAAGCACGC